CCACUGCGAUAGAUCCUUUAUGUCAUGUAUUUAAUCCUGCGUUGAGGACACUUUAUAAAACCUACAGAGGAUGGGACCCUACCUGUCCAACGAACGGCCUUCACAACGCGAGCAUGCGACGCAGCAACUUGGAAAUUCAAACAGUAACGGUCAUUUGACAGACGAACGGGUGCUAAGCCAACGGGCAGUUCGUGAAGACAGAAACAUAAGAGAUGUUGUGACAAUCUGCACAGUUCCAGUUCCACCUGCCACACCAGACUCUCUACUGUGUAUGGAUGCCUUUUUGGAGCCAGGGACCUCUUGCAGGGGAGAAGACUUUCCAAGGACCCCCUCAUAUCAUAAUUACAACAGUGUUUAAGGCUCACGUUAAUUUCAGCUCCAACAGGUGAACAUAAUGUAUGGACCCAAC